ACAGAAGACAACCAGGAGAUAAAAAUCAUGAAAUCUCUUUAGCAUGUAAAGUUUGCUAAAGGUAAAUCAGAGCUAAUACCUAAUUAAAAACGGUGAUAUUCACUGUUCCUGGACAGCAGUAUCGGCAUCACUUGGGAACUCGUUAGAAAUGCAAAUUCUCAAGCCUUACCCCAGAACUACCAGGUGAGAAACUCUGAAUGGGGCUCAGCAGUCUGUGUGUUCAGAAGCCCUGUAGGGGAUUCUGUUGCACAUUACAGUUUGAGAGUCUCUGCCCUGAUGUUGAUAUAGCUAACAGGUGGGGUGUCUUAUUGGGUUGCUUGGAGACUGGAAAGGUCAGAUCUUCCCAAAAAGGAAUUACAAGGUCUGCAGAAUAGCUCAGCUCCUUUCUGCCCAGGAAGAAGCUGGAUUGUUGAACUUGUGAAGAGCAUGGAAUCAAGUCCCGCUUCCAACAGGCCCUUAGCCAGCUGUGGAAGCUUUGGGAAAUUCCUUCAUUCCUCUGAGCCUCAGUUUCUUCAUCUAUGGAACCUACACCUCCAGCAAAGCAUGGUGUGGUUUACAUGCCUCACUCAUAGAACCCUUGUCAGGAAGUUAAAUGGAAUGGCAUUACCGUGGUGCCAGAGGCAUUUUAAGAAUGAUUGGCUGUAACUGUGCCUGAAUAUAGUUUCUAAGCAGUCAUUGAGCCCUGAAUUGAUCCACAGGCUGAACUAGGUUCGAGGAGGCUGCAAGAGCCAGGUGCCACGAGGUUACUCUGAAGUGCCCUCAUCCCUGGAAGAGACCCCUGGAUGAGCCUUGGGGAGUCCUUCGAAGUCCUAGAAUCUGGUUUUCAUAAGAUCUUUUUCAGCAAGGUAUUGGUAUCAACAAGUUGAAUUUACCAUCUUAAUGACUUCCUCAAAUAUAAAAUCCACUGCAUAAAAGUGACUUUUAUCCUUAGUUUUAAAAUGUGAGUUGUUAAAGAUCCCUAUAGCUAUGCCCAUCAAAAUAUCAUUUAAAAGUUACAAUUCUCCAGCUUCUUCUGUGUGGCCUACAGAUUAUCUACCUUGAAAUUUCUUCACCAGAUAGGGAGAAAUACCUCAAGCUGUCUUUCAUGUACAAGCCCAGGAGCAGUUUUACACAAAGAUCAGUGUUCUCUCAGUUAAACGCUGGUUAAAUAAAACAGUGUAAAAUAGAAUCUGAGAGAAACAAAUUACCUAAGACCUGUUUCCUCCAGGGCACCAGGUUUCAGCCUUCCUUUAAUUUUCUCUUGUUGUUCAGUCACUCAGUCGUGUCCGACUCUUUGUGAUCCCAUGAACUGCAGCAUGCCAGGCUUCCCUGUCCUUCACUAUCUCCUAGAGUUUGCUCAAACUCACAUCAAUGAUGCCAUCCAACCACCUCAUCCUCUGUCACCCCCUUCUCCUCCUACCCUCAGUCUUUUCCAGCAUCAGGGUCUUUUUCCAAUGAGUUGGCUCUAGUG
ensembl:lncRNA